CCGGACUACACUCUGGAAGAGAGAUGACAGCUUCCUGAGUCAACGGAAACUUGGUAGCAAGAAAGCUGCAGAGGAGGCUGCCAGCAGUACAGGAUGCAGGGAGAACCCAGGCCUGGGGUUGAGGCCAGGAGACUCGAUUCCAGCUUUACUGUGUGACUUUAGCAGGACUGUCAUGGGUAGAAGCUGCUGGCAUGUCAUCUACAGCCUUGGAGGACAGGAUUGUGGCCAAGCACGAGGAGGUUCCAGAAGUUUCAGUUCAGUAUGAAGAAAAAUUUCAGAACCAUCACAAACCGGUAGGCUGCCUCAUUGGAGGGUGGAGCAUGGUGGUGGAAGUGAGUACUCCAUCACUAAUAGCAUGCAAGAAGAGGUUGGAGAGUCAAACUUCAUGCUGUAGACUGGACUGAGUGAUCUUUGAGAACCCUGAACUCUAACAGUCUAUAAUUCUAAAAAGCAUCACUGAUGUUCGACAAGUGAAAGCCUCUGUGUGUGGUCAACAUUUUCUCACUGGCUGGAGGACAGUCCAAUGUGACUGUACAACCAACUUAAAGUUAGAAGUGCCAGGCUGCACCAUUCCGCUGCACCGGGGACACGGCCUACGCUCUGAACACCUGCAGGACCCCCAGAGCACACAAGUCAGGGGUGGAUGUGGUCUCCACUGCUCCUAUCUGAACGACUGAUGAGGUGUCUCAGGGGAGGAAAGGACCACUUCCUUCUUAAACACCCCUGCACCUGCUGAGCCAGCCCACAGCAGACAAGCGUCAGAAGGGCCUUGAGUGCAAGGCCUCACUUCGCAGACGAUGACACUGAGGCCUAGAGAAAGCCUUUCUAAUACACCUUAUUUAUUUUCUUCCUCCCUAGGGCUCCCGUUUUCUUGUCCCAUAUCAGCUUCCCAGGGUGUCUGCUAGUUCUGGUUGCCUCAGAGGGCCUGGAGCUGGCAAAAGCACUAGACAUUAUUUCUAGCAUUUGGGUCAGCCUGGCAGGCAGGACCCUGAAGAAGCUGGACAGAAAAUGGUGUCAGUAGCUGGAUGGGGGUGGAGAAAGAGACAGGCUGAGGGCCCAGAUACCUGUCUCCCAGUCCAAUGACAAACUGGGAGUCCAGAGCCAAGGUCCUAGUCUGCAAUCUGAGGCUGAGCGCCCGGAUACCUGUCUCACAGUCCAAUGGCAAAUUGAGAGUCCAGAGCCAAGGUCCUAGCUUGCCAUCUGCUUGCUGUGUGACCUUGAGUGGACACCCUUCCUUUUCUGUGCUUCUGUAUCCUCUUCUGCAUGGCAUGGAAUUGUGCAAUGGGAUACAUAAGAGCCCUUCUGGUUUUGACAUGCUGUGGAUGGGGAAGAAGGGGCAGAGUGAGGUCAUCUUGCUAUCUCAUCUUCUGUCGAUCCUGUCCUGAUUGUUUGCUCUGGGCAGGGCAGGGGCAGUUUGACACACUCAGCUGUUAGCUCUGGUCAUGGAGGGGGCUUCUCUGGAGAGCAGGAAAGGAGGGCCCUUGCUCAGGAGGCCUGGCUGAGAACCUGGAGCCCUCCACACCAUCCCCUGUUCUUCAGCAGCCAGUGUAAGGGUGGUUGUAAAAGAGAGGGCAGGAUUGCCUGAAAGCAGAGAAUGACAGAGCUCAGCCACCUCCCAAGUUGCAUGCAGCAUGCUCCCAAUUCUACAGUGGCACUAUGAGCAGAAAUAAGUACCCAUUAGUGAGGACAAUGAGGAGGCACAGGAUGCUCAGGGCAGGACCGUUUGCAGUAGGGAAAUGCUGUAAACUGGGGACUGGCUGGAUACACUCGGACAUAAUACUAUAUCAUUUCAUUCAUAUGUUUAAGAGAGUGAAGUAGACCUUUAUGUACAAAGACGGAAAGGCAUUUGGUAAAAUACCAAUAUCCAAACUAAACUAUUUCUUUUCUGUCACCCAGGCUGGAGUGCAGUGGUGUAUUCUUGGCUCACUGCAACCUCCGCCUCCCAGGUCCAAGCAAUUCUCCUGCCUCAGCCUCCCCAGUAACUGGGACUACAGGUGCGUGCCACCACGCCCAGCUAAUUUUUGUAUUUUUAGUAGAGACAGGGUUUUACCAUGUUGAUCAAGCUGGUCUUGAACUCCUGACCUCAGGUGAUCUGCCCGCCUUAGCCUCCCAAAGUGCUGGGAUUACAGGCGUGAGCUACCGUGCCCGGCCAACUAUUACUAAUGAUAAAAAAAUGCACAGGAAAAAGUACCUAGAAAAGCACAAACUGAUAACAGUUGUCAUCUCCAGAGAAUGGACUAAAAUUACGGUGGUCAAGGAAGGGUAGCUUCCAUUUUACCUAAAUUCUUAGGAUUUUUUUUUUUUUUUUUUUUUUUUUUUGAGACUGAGUCUUGCUUUGUCACCUAGAGUGAGUGGUGUGCAGUGCUGCGAUCUCGGCUCACUGCAGCCUCUGCCUCCCAGGUUCCAGCGAUUCUCCUGCCUCAGCCUCCUGGGUAGCUGAGAUUACAGACACGUGCCACAUGCCCAGCUAAUUUUUGUAUUUUUAGUAGAGACGGGGUUUCACCAUGUUGGUCAGGUUGGUCUCAAACUCCUGACCUCAGGUGAUCCGCCCGCCUCAGUCUCCCAAAGCGCAGGGAUUACAGGUGUGAGCCACCACACCUGGCCAAUUCUUAGGAUUUUUAAAGCAACAAUGCAUUCAAGAAUUACUUGUAUACAAAGAAAUUAACAACAAGAAAAAG